GCAUAUGCAAGUCACUCUUUGGACUGAUGAAAGGAUCUACAUCAAGUUCAAGGACUGCUGAAGCAAGUGCCCUGCAAAAGGACUAUUGAGAAGUGGCCAAAGAAGAAGAGGCAUCUCACAGAUGAGGCACCAAUGGCUCGUCUACGCAAGGUCAGCGCCUAUUGCACCGUAAUGCUGGCCUGUGUGGUCCUGCAUUGUGGCUGCUCAAAGCCCCAGCAUACUUCAUUGGAGAGGCUCCGUUUCUCCUCAGUGGCAGAAAAUUGUUUCCAAGUAUGUCAGCUUCUCGUUGAAUUUGCUGGACUUUGCGUUUUAGUGUUAAUGACUGAUCUCAUUUUGGGUUUCUUGAAUGCUCUGGACUCAUUAGGUCAAAUUCAGGACCAAGAAUUGCAUAGAGAUAUGCUUUUUGAGGAAUAAGUGAACCAGCACAUUAAAAAAAAAAAAAAAAAGUCUUUCCUUUAUACUAGUGAAGGACCCAGCUAAAACUUCGCUGCCUUUCCAACCACAUGAAUAAGCUUUUAAAAGAAGCCUGCUUGUUGGAGAGCUGGGAUACACAUAUUAACAGAGCAUUUCUCUCCAGUGUACUGCUUUCAUAUUUUCAGUAGCAAAUGAACUGAGACUUAAAAUGAAUGAGCUGUUUAAGAGUAAUAUUUCUCCCCUUGCACCUGCAUACAUUGAUGGCUAUCAGUGGAGCACUGUAGCUGGAAUUUCAGUAGCAUUGCUUCUUGCACCCUGAUUAUUUUUUUUUAAGUAAUGUAUUGAAAAAGCACUAACAGUCUGCCAACACUGCCACACCAUGUAGCAAUUCUUGCUAAGCCUGAGACAUUAUUGUUUAUCUAUCACUGUUCUUCAGAGCAAACAAACUUCAUGGGUAAUUCUAAAAAAACCAACCUUAUUUAUCUUGAUUUAUGUGAUUAUGCAUAAGGGGCUAAUUCUUGCCUUCAGCUGUGUUUGUUCAAAUUACACACCCUUCCCUUAAGAAUGCUAUUGUACUUUUGGCGAUCAUCUUUUUAAUUCCAUGUUUACAUCCAUUUUCAUGCUGUUCACUUGACUCCCUUUUUAUAUUUCUAGAGCAGGAGCACUUGGUAUAGUAGGCGUGAGGCACAUACACAAGCCUUGAAUCUAUCUUGCUAGCACUGUCUGUCUUUUAAUACUCUUCCUGAAUUUUUUCAUUUGAAAUAUGAAUAACAAUUUAAUGCCUUCUGGAGGGGGAGAAGGGCUUCCAUAAAAAAUAUCGUAUUAUAUGAGUUGCAUGGCAAAAGGAUUUGUGAUUUGAAUUAUUACUGAACCUCACCGAGUAUCCUUUCACAAUCAUUUGCAUUUAUAGUGAUAUAGGAAUAGGGUCUUUAUUUAACAGCUACCGAGUCAGAAUCCCAUGGUUUGGGCUGUGGGCUUCCACAGCUGAGCUGUUUGUGGAAGUCAAAAUGCUAGACUAGCUCAGCCUGAGCAUGCUCGGGGGGACACCAGUGACAGCACAGUAGGGAUGGUUCCUCAAAAACAUGCUGACAACCCCCAACAGCCCUUUUUUUUUUUCCUUUUAAAGAAAAAUGCAUGUUUCUUCUUAGUGUCUGCCAACAGCUAAACAGUACAUAAAAAUGUUAGCUCUAGAUGGUUGAAUACUUUAGCCAGUGUGGUUUCUCUGUCUGCAUUUAUGCACAGGUAGGACAGCUGUGUGUAUUACAUUUGAGUUUGUCUCCCAGGCAAUAGAGUAUUUGUGGUCUGAUUGGAAGAACAGCUGGGACCCUGAGUCUUCUGUUUUUCUCCUAACUUCUCCACGGCACUGUGUGUUCACCCUGCACUUGAUUCAGCUCCUGAAGGGGUCAGUGACAAAACUCUUGGAGCUCAAAGUCUGUUUUGUCAUGCAAGUAGACAUCCACAAUUACUUCACUGAUCCCAGUGGAUGUAGGUCCUCAGCUAAUUGCCCUGUAGAGUAAUUCAAGUUUGGAUCCAUGCAAAUUGAAAUUAGAUCAUGUCCUGCUAACUUUGGAGAGAACAGAUUCAGGCCCAUAACCUGUCUGCCUGAAUAGUCUGUUUAAAGACAUCCUUCCCUUCUCCCGGAAGUUUAACAAUUCUUAAUAUCCUGAAGUCAAAAGGCUUAAAAGUCGUGCUCUGUCUUAACCUGAAUUACCUUCUCCAGACAGGUGUGAGCUUGUAUAGCUCUCUGCACACUGAGAUCUCGUCACCUCCAGCUUUCCUUUGGGUAGACUACAAGGAUGCAGUUGUGGGAGCAAAGGAAGGGGUGCUGGUCUACUCUGUAGUCAUUGGCCAGUUUCAAAUAAACAUUACGGAGAAGUAGGAUCUCAGAUUAAUCUGUUAGACAAUUUUGCAAGUGGAGGACUGAGUGGAAGAGAGAAACUACUAAGCUGAAUUGUUGGCUUGUGCUAAAAAAUCUGUGCCCCAGCUACGGUAAUAGCUUCAGUUAGUACUCAUACUUUAUAUCAAACUCUGGAAAAUCCAGCCUCCUGGCCACCCCAGGAAGCUGUUGCUCACCGAGCUCCUUGUUUGAUGUACGGGCACCAGAGCUGGCUGCAGACAAUAUUAGAGGCACAACUGGAGAUGUGCUCAGGCCACCUAUCACAUCCCUUCAUCCUCCCUCUCUCCAACCAGUGACCAUGUUUAACCUCUUAACUACAGUUCUGCACUGAAAUUUCAGGUUCAAUUAAUUAUUUUCCAUUUCCUGUAAUUUUUUUCAGCGUCACUGCAUUGUUUGACAUAUCAUGUAAAGGUGAUCUAAGCCUUCUGUUCCUAUAUAUACAGCCUGUAUUGGAUUUUACUAAAAUGUGUGUCAUUUAAGUAACCCAGAUCAGCCCAUAUAGUGCAAAUAUCCUUAUAAAUGUUCUCUAUUAUGAAUGAGAUAUCUUGCCAGCUACGCAAUUCCUAAUGAGUACAUCAAGAAUGAUCUCCCAAUUCCUCAACUGCUGGAGUGCUCCUUGAUAAUUUCUGGUAGUAGACACUGGAAAAUUAUUAUUAUUAUUAUCUGGCAGUAGACACGGGUAGGGAAUUAGAUUGUUAACAGUCAUCUGAGUCAGUAGUUAGAUUUGUUUGGAUAAAAACUGAAAACUUUUGGCUUUGUGUGUCUGUUUUUCCAGCAGUCAUUUCUUUUCACAUUGAAAACCCAAUUUUUCAUGCCAAUGAGAUCAAUUGGAAAGUUUUUAGUAACCCAGAUGAUGAAUAGUAUUGGCUGAAGAAAGGGUUUCUUCAGCCUCAGUGGAAGCCUCCCCAGAAAAUGACAAUUGCACAUUUACAGUUACUUUUAGGAGACCUGUCUGUUAACUGAUUCUUAGCCUGUUUACUAUGGGCACG